rnacentral:rRNA from 1 species
UACGGAGGGGGCGAGCGUUAUUCGGAAUCAUUGGGCGUAAAGGGCGCGUAGGCGGCCUAGCAAGUCAGGGGUGAAAUCCCUCGGCUCAACCGAGGAACUGCCUCUUAAACUGCUUGGCUAGCGACCGGGAGAGGGUAGUGGAAUUCCCAGUGUAGCGGUGAAAUGCGUAGAUAUUGGGAGGAACACCAGUGGCGAAGGCGGCUACCUGGACCGGUUCUGACGCUGAGGCGCGAAAGUGUGGGGAGCAAACAGG